rnacentral:lncRNA from 1 species
GGGGGGAGGGGGGAUUGGGGGCUAUUGAUAUUUUGGAAAAUAACUUUUUUCCAGUUUUUGGAGAAAAACAUUAAUUCUUUUUGACCCUGAGAAAAAGUAAUUGUUUGUUUCAGCUUCAGCUGCCACUUUAUGUAAUGCUAAAAAGACGACAAUUUUGGAAAAAGGGUCCACUAACAUUAAUGUCUAUUUGACUUUUGAGCUGUGGAGUCUGCGCAGUGGCGGUCUGGACCCCUCCCGUCUUGUCUGUAGGUCUGUAUCUGCAAGAAAAAAACAAAGUGCACAUUAGUUCCACAUUAAUACGACAAUUUUGGAAAAAGGGUCCACUAACAUUAAGGUCUACUUAACUUUUGAGCUGGGGAGUCUGCGCAGUGGCGGUCUGGACCCCUUUCUUGUCUGUAGGU